UUGGUUUUUCCCUUUUUCUUCUUUGACGAUCUCGUCGACUCUAAAGCCAUUGAGAUUACUUACCCACUCUACCUUCAUCCGUCUGAUAUGCCGGGAAUGAUGCUAGUUUCUCAACUGUUGGUUGGCCUGGAGAACUAUUGCGUUUGGAGUCGCUCGUUGAUGAUUACCCUGCUUGCAAAAAUUAAGCUAGGGUUUGUGGAUGGUUCCUGUCAGAGGAAUGAUUAUGCGGCGGCGUUGCAUCCACAAUGGGAUCGCUACAAUACGGUGGUGCUCUCUUGGAUCUUGAAUUCGGUCAGCAAAGAAUUAUCGGUUGGGAUUGUGUUUGCGUUGAGUGUGACGGUGGUUUGGAGAGAUCUCAAGGAUCGUUUUGACAAGGUAGAUGGGUCUCGAAUCUUCUUCUUGCACCGGGAAAUUGCUACUCUCUGUCAAGGUGAGUUUACUGUAUUCGGUUACUUCACUCGCCUGUGUUUUCUUUGGGAUGAGUAUGAAGCCCUCACCCUUUUCACUGUCUGUGAGUGUGAGGUUUCACAACAGAAUUCCAGGCAUUUGGUUCAACAAAAGUUAUUUCAAUUCUUGAUGGGAUUAAAUGAGAGCUAUGUUGCGGUUCGGAGUCAAAUAUUGCUCAUGCAGCCCCUUCCCUCGAUUAAGAAAGCUUAUUCGGUGCUCGUUUAUGAAGAGUUUCAACGAUCGCAUUUGUCGAUCAUCUUUAAUUUGGUUUCUGAAUCCACUAUGUUCUUUUCUAACACGACUGGUAGCAGUGGUCGACGUCGUUUUUCUGGAACGUGUGAUUAUUGAUAGGUUAAGGGGCACAAGAAGGACCAGUGUUAUAGGCUUAAUGAUUUUCCUCCCGGUUAUAUGUUCAUCAAAAAGAAGGGUGUGAAUGUUGCUGUUAUUACUUCUAGUGAUGACGCUGCUAUUGGUGUGGAAGGUGUGGCUAGUCCAGUUGUUGCUACUGCUCCAGCUGCUUCUACUUUCAUUCGGGAGUAGUAUGAGUAGAUUCUUCUUCUAUUGAACAAGACUCAUUAGACAGAAACAGAUGUGAAUUUUGCGGGUAUUGUUGAUCGUCGUUUAUCUGCUACUGAUUCUUUGCUUUCUUGGAUUGUUGACACAUGAGCUACGGGCCAUAUUUUAUCUGAUUUCCAGAGCCCGAGUCUCCUGUUUCAUGUGCUGCUUUUCGUUCGGUACACUUGCCCAAUGGAUCUAUCCACUGAAAGGAUGAAAGGGAUUGGUAGGGAAGCGAAUGGGUUGUAUAUCCUUGGGUUUGAUAUUUAUCAUGGUUUGUCUCGCAAUGCUUUGUCUUUAACUUCUUGCACUGGUUCUGUUUCUUCUUGUUCCAUUGAUUCCGGUGUUGCUUUUGGUUGCUCUUUUCCGGAUGUUAUUAACCCUACUUGUAUUUGGCAUGCUCCCCUUGGGCAUUCUACCUUUUCUAAGAUGAAUAAAGUGGAGUUUUUAAAGUCUUA